rnacentral:rRNA from 1 species
CGGUGGAUGAUGUGGAUUAAUUCGAUGACAACGCGAAAACCUUACCUACCCUUGACAUGCCCGGAAUCCCGAAGAGAUUUGGGAGUGCUCGCAAGAGAACCGGAACACAGGUGCUGCAUGGCUGUCGGUCAGCUCGUGUCGUGAGAUGUUGGGUUAAGUCCCGCAACGAGCGCAACCCUUGUCAUUAGUUGCCAUCAUUUGGUUGGGCACUCUAAUGAGACUGCCGGUGACAAACCCGGAGGAAGGUGGGGAUGACGUCAAGUCCUCAUGGCCCUUAUGGGUAGGGCUUCACACGUCAUACAAUGGUCGGUACAGAGGGUUGCCAACCCGCGAGGGGGAGCUAAUCCCACAAAGCCGAUCGUAGUCCGGAUCGCAGUCUGCAACUCGACUGCGUGAAGUCGGAAUCGCUAGUAAUCGUGGAUCAGCAUGUCACGGUGAAUACGUUCCCGGGUCUU